GCGAAAUGUGCGGUUAAAAUUACUGUUCACUUUGACUUAAUGUUUAUCAAACUUUUAAGCCACACUAAAUAGGGUCUAAAUCUGUUGUUUAAAAAAAAUGGAUAAGCACGACAAUUCUACUACAAAUAUUCUAAGGCUAUGUUGAGCCCUAUUUUUUUGGAAAUAUAUUUUGUGCUUAAAAAGUUGAAAAAAGUUUUGGCUUUAUGUGCAAAAAAGGGAAACUUUCAGACACUUGAAUCAUGAUUUGUACAAACUUAGUUCCAAUGUGGAUUACUUUGCUUGUGAAAAUUUUGAUAUCUUUAUAAUGAAUUUAUCUGUACAAGCACUAGAAAAUCAUUGAAAUAAAAUUUCUAAUCAUAUUUUCGAUUGAUUUGUUGUUAGACAGUUAAUCCUAUUUAGACAGUUAAUCCUAUUUGUAAAUGUAGGUACAAUGAACAUUACCAAAUGGUCUGUAGAUUUGUGAUGUUGUCAUGAAAUCUGAUGGUCUUUGACCUAUAUGCCAAGCUUCUCGAAAAUAUCAUGAGGUAAAUCUUCAAUUAAGCUAAGCAUAAAUGUCUUAAUCGAUUUUCUGGGUGUCAAGUUGUAUUAGAGAUGAAAUCACAACUGACAUAAUAGGGAAAUCCUCAAGCUAUGUGGUAUUGAAUUAUAGUUUUAUGUUUUAUAUUAACAAUAAGAUUAACAAGCAUUCAUUCAUUUGGUAAAUUAAUUCUUUUCAAUUUUUUGAGUUUUUACUUCUCUGUACUUGCUUAUGAUCAAUGAUUUCGUCUAUGUAGUUAAUUUAGCCAAUAUGCCGUUAACAUUCAUUUUUCUUCAUAUAAAGAUAGGACAUAAAGUUGCAUUCAUUCCUGGGGGUAUGUUAGCGCAAUAGCUUCAUGCAUUACAACUUUUGCGACGAUAGCUUUGACAAGUAGUUUCUUUGUGAAGUGUUAUAGUUCAAGUAUGUCAAUCAUGAUGCUUACACAUUUACUAUGGUUAGGUCGUCAGUAAUCUGCUUCAUCAUUCUGCUAGAAUCAAGAAAUCUUAAUCUUCUAUUCUCAAGACUCUCUGAAGCAAUGUAAUAUUUAUUUUUUUCUAUACUUUAUCUGUUUCCCCGUUUGAAUUUUCACCGUUUCCAAUUGAUUAAAGUAUUUCCCUAUUUGUUUAUGUAGUGGGUUCACUUUCGUGAAUUUCCAGUUGUCACAUUAUUUUUUAAUGUAUUUAUCUUUUCUCUAUGUAUUUUUCUAUUUCCUAAUGGUUCUAAUUUGAAUGGCUAAAGUUGUAGGAGCAUGUGUUUAUAUUGCAUUUGAAGUUAAAAUAUACCAUUCCAUUCUAUUUAAACUUUCAUGCACAUUUCAAUUAUUUACAAACUUAUAUACUCCAAACUAAAUGUUCCAUUUUGGAUAUAUAAACAUUUGUAAUACUCCUACAGUAUAG
rnacentral:lncRNA from 1 species